CCUACGGGAGGCAGCAGUGAGGAAUAUUGGUCAAUGGACGAGAGUCUGAACCAGCCAAGUAGCGUGAAGGAUGACUGCCCUAUGGGUUGUAAACUUCUUUUAUAUGGGAAUAAAAUGUUCCACGUGUGGGUUUUUGUAUGUACCAUAUGAAUAAGGAUCGGCUAACUCCGUGCCAGCAGCCGCGGUAAUACGGAGGAUCCGAGCGUUAUCCGGAUUUAUUGGGUUUAAAGGGAGCGUAGGUGGAUUGUUAAGUCAGUUGUGAAAGUUUGCGGCUCAACCGUAAAAUUGCAGUUGAUACUGGCAGUCUUGAGUACAGUAGAGGUGGGCGGAAUUCGUGGUGUAGCGGUGAAAUGCUUAGAUAUCACGAAGAACUCCGAUUGCGAAGGCAGCUCACUGAACUGCAACUGACACUGAGGCUCGAAAGUGUGGGUAUCAAACAGGAUUAGAUACCCCAGUAGUC
rnacentral:rRNA from 1 species